rnacentral:rRNA from 1 species
GGCCAGACUCCUACGGGAGGCAGCAGUGGGGAAUAUUGCACAAUGGGGGAAACCCUGAUGCAGCGACGCCGCGUGAGCGAUGAAGUAUUUCGGUAUGUAAAGCUCUAUCAGCAGGGAAGAAAAUGACGGUACCUGACUAAGAAGCCCCGGCUAACUACGUGCCAGCAGCCGCGGUAAUACGUAGGUGGCAAGCGUUGUCCGGAUUUACUGGGUGUAAAGGGCGUGCAGCCGGGAGUGCAAGUCAGAUGUGAAAUCCCGCGGCUCAACCGCGGAACUGCAUUUGAAACUGUGCUUCUUGAGUGCUGGAGAGGCAGACGGAAUUCCUAGUGUAGCGGUGAAAUGCGUAGAUAUUAGGAGGAACACCGGUGGCGAAGGCGGUCUGCUGGACAGUAACUGACGGUGAGGCGCGAAAGCGUGGGGAGCAAACAGGAUUAGAUACCCGGGUA